rnacentral:rRNA from 1 species
UACGGAGGGUGCAAGCGUUAUCCGGAAUCACUGGGUUUAAAGGGUGCGUAGGCGGCCCGAUAAGUCAGUCGUGAAAUCGCUGGGCUCAACCCAUGCAAUUGCGAUUGAUACUGUCAGGCUUGAAUAUGGUUGAGGCUAGCGGAAUGCGGCAUGUAGCGGUGAAAUGCUUAGAUAUGCCGCAGAACACCGAUUGCGAAGGCAGCUAGCUGGGCCUUUAUUGACGCUGAGGCACGAAAGCGUGGGGAGCAAACAGG